UCAAACCGGAAGUUAGUAGCGUUGCUCAGGCGACCCGACGUCGCGCUCGGACUUCAGCAUCACGCGAAGCUGAACCCGCGGAGCCCUGCGGGCGGGCGCCUUGUGGCGGAGUUCGCUGAAGCUGCAGCAUGGGACCCGACGAAUCAGUAGUUAAGAUGCAGCCAAACCGUCACGAGGAAGUAGGGGUCAAGAAAUGCAAGAUGAAGAUAGUGAUACUGAUGCUGGGAGGUUUAGUAGUAACCCUGGAUGGAGCCAGCCUGGAACCCGUGGUCUGCAUUGGCAUUACUGUGCCCUCUGGGAGAUAAACGGAUUCCAGGCACACAGCCAUCAUCUGUCCUUGUGUGUGAGGAUUUGAUUCCCUGGUCCUCGGCCCUUCCUCUGCAGAUCCACACCAUCAAACUGAAAAGGUGGACAAAGGAAGUCACGUGUGCUCCUUCUGCCUCUGAGAGAAUCAGCUGUUGGCGGGGGUGGAGGGCCUGUACCGUGUACGUUUACACGGUACGUCCACAUGGUACGUCCAAAAAUGGGGUAAUAAACGCUGCACAGUACUUUCAGGGGUUUGGAAUUCAGAAUGAUUUCUGCAGCUUCCUACUUCCCAACAGGGAUGCUGAGUUCAGAGCACUUCUGCUCACUUGCUAUUCACUCCCGGGAUUAGCAAUUUCAGCUUGUUGCCUCAUUCGCAUGCAAUUUAGAGUAAUUUCAAAGAAUGUAUCCUUUCAACAUCUGAAAAGCUACCCUAUAACUUUAAGAGACCAUUCUACUUAAAUGUACUUAAAAAAUAAAUAAAUAAACACAAAGAAAAGAGCCUGGCUCCUUUAAAAGUUACAUGUACCUUUGAAAGGGAGUAAAAGGCCUGCGAGGGUGGUUAAUGGAUAAUCUCAGAUUUCGCUGCACAUCAAAACUUAACACUACCCUUUGACUUCAAAGAAAGAUGAACAGAAAUCUUCUGAACGGAAGAGGGUUUGGUUUUUUUCUUUCUUUUUUUAAACAACUGUGUUUUUUCUAUCUGUUUUCACUAAGAAAAGAAAAGGAAGUAAGAGCAGCAGGGCACUGCCGGGGGAAGUUUUACAUGGGCACUGUACAAGCCCGCUGAGGUGACUAAAGGUGGCAGAAAACUUAAGUCCAGAGAUCUCGGUACAUAAAAUUGAGUGCUUUACAUCAUAUAAUAGUGAAACAGGACUUUAUUAUUAAGAUCAUUGUUACGUCAGCCUCAAAACACAAUUUUAACUUGUUAAAUUUGAUCAACUGUGCUUUGAAAUAAAAUGGCUCUAAGAUGUGCUUGAAGUGAAAACAGUUCCUUGCCUGCCAGCAUUUCUAAGGACUAACAUCUUAGGCAGCCCAGUGUCGCUUUACUAAUAAGAUACCAGUUGUGACUAAAUCCAUGGUGCAGGUGCUCCUGCCUCCUCAGCAGCUGACUGAGUGGAGAGCAGACCUUUGGCCGGACAGGACGUCAGGAGGCAUGGGUGGUUGGUUCUGUUUGUUUUUUUAAAUGGCCAGUCUUUCCAUUUCAUUAAGAUGGAUUUCCAUGGUGCCAGUAAUCACACAUGGUGCUGUUAAGACACAUAAAAGUCAGGGACUGGGAAAAAACAGGGAAGGGUUUCCAGGGUGAAGAUUAUUUAACAGCCACCAAAGAGUAGAAAAAGAAGAGUUUGGAAGGAAGAUGGCUGAUGGUUUGCAAAACCUUCGUAUGAUUUUGAAAACAUUAUUUAACUCUAAAAAGUCUUUAAAGCUUUUAUUAUUU